CAGCAGCCGCGGUAAUGCGUAGGGUGCAAGCGUUAAUCGGAAUUACUGGGCGUAAAGCGUGCGCAGGCGGUUGUGCAAGACCGAUGUGAAAUCCCCGGGCUUAACCUGGGAAUGGCAUUGGUGACUGUACGGCUAGAGUGUGUCAGAGGGGGGUAGAAUUCCACGUGUAGCAGUGAAAUGCGUAGAGAUGUGGAGGAAUACCGAUGGCGAAGGCAGCCCCCUGGGAUAACACUGACGCUCAUGCACGAAAGCGUGGGGAGCAAACAGGAUUAGAUACCCUGGUAGUCCACGCCCUAAACGAUGUCUACUAGUUGUCGGGUCUUCAUUGACUUGGUAACGCAGCUAACGCGUGAAGUAGACCGCCUGGGGAGUACGGUCGCAAGAUUAAAACUCAAAGGAAUUGACGG
rnacentral:rRNA from 1 species